GGUCUCUCUUGUAAACAGUGAUGUUUACAAGUAAUUGAUCACAACCUAUUACAGAUUUCUUUGUUCCUUCUCCACUCCCACUGCUUCACUUGACUAGCCUAAA
rnacentral:Y_RNA from 1 species